GACGGACGCUGGCGGCGUGCUUAACACAUGCAAGUCGAACGGUGAAGCGCCUUCCUUUUUGGUGGGUGUGGAUGAGUGGCGAACGGGUGAGUAACACGUGAGUAACCUGCCCCCUUCUUCUGGAUAACCGCAUGAAAGUGUGGCUAAUACGGGAUAUUCUGGGUCUGUCGCAUGAUGGGUCUGGGAAAGAUAUUGUUUCGGUGGGGGAUGGGCUCGCGGCCUAUCAGCUUGUUGGUGGGGUGAUGGCCUACCAAGGCGGUGACGGGUAGCCGGCCUGAGAGGGUGGACGGUCACACUGGGACUGAGACACGGCCCAGACUCCUACGGGAGGCAGCAGUGGGGAAUAUGGCACAAUGGGCGCAAGCCUGAUGCAGCGACGCCGCGUGAGGGAUGGAGGCCUUCGGGUUGUGAACCUCUUUCGCCAGUGAAGCAGGCCUGCCUCGUUUGUGGGUGGGUUGACGGUAGCUGGAUAAGAAGCGCCGGCUAACUACGUG
rnacentral:rRNA from 1 species